AUAAAUUUUCAGCCAAAGCUGAGUACUGCAUCAACACUCCUUUUUGGAUACUUUGCGAAAAUGGGAAGCAAAACAAAAAGCGCUGAUGCGUUAAAGUUCCAUUUUACUCAAAAGCGAGUAGUGUUGACGUACUUCAGCUUUGAGUGAAAAGUAUUGAAGACUGAGAACAAAAUAGUAUCCAAAACAGUAGUGAUAGAAGAGUACCUAAUUUUGAGUUCUUUUUAUGUCAAUUUUGGCUAGUUUCGUUUCCCCGUGCUGCACUUGACGUUGCUUUUUUUCGUCUUCGCGAGUCUCGUCUCAGGGUGCGACAACGCGGAAGCAGAAAUAUGCGGUGUAAAAGUUUCCCCCACCGCCGCAGCGGUCAGCAAGCAGCCGUCUUCCGGGUGAAAAAUAACCACAACAGUGUCGCUGCGCGCCUCUUGCUGGCAUUGUUUGGUUCGGUAGUCAGCGACGAGGAGUUCGGCAGCCACGAUGGUGCAGGUCGACUAACACCGAGGAACCGCACGCCAGCCGGAGGAAGAUCAUUUUCAAAUCCCUAAAUCAAAAAAACGAAUCGGGAAACUUGUAUGCUGGUUCUAUAGUGCUGAUGCAUUUGCGAAGGUGUUCCGGAUGAAGGACCAGUCGAGGAUGAUGAUUUUCCUGGUGAAGUACUUUUUCGGCGAUGUCAAAAAUAUCUCGCUGGAGGUGGUGUAUCACUCAUAACCUGGCCUUCGGGCAUGCUCAUAACCUAGCCUUCAAUGGCGAACGGAUUGUUUGGCCUUUUCUGCAAUCUCACAAGCGGACUACCGCUGCCGGAAAGCCUCAAGAAGUAUCACCUGGAGCAGUACCGGUACCAGGAGGAUGAAGUUUUUGACACGGACAUACCCACCCUGCUGGAAGCGAAGCUGUUCGGGAACCUUAUCAAUCCGAAGCCAGCGCUAAAGACGGAAAUCGGUAACGCCACCAUGCAGCUUAUUUUUAACACCUAGGCCGUCCGCGGCUGGUACAUCCCCGAAAUGAUAAGGAUCGCACCGGAAGAUACCAUCCCGCAGUUCACCAGCUGAAUCAGGGUCCGGUACGACUUGAGCACUGAUCUGGCCAUCGGACCAUACGCCCGGAUCAAGCGGAAGGUGAGGGGACUGGAUUUCUAAAACGCUUUUUGAGAGAGCCUUGCGGGGCGUCGAGUUUCUUCUGGCAAUUAUGGCUGUUCAACAUUUAUCACUCCGGUUAGUAAACUACCUACAAGACGUAUUACACCAUUAGAAACAUCAUAAUCAGCACUGGACAAGUCCGAAAGAAUUCUUAUAAACAACUGUAUUUACAAGCAAUAAAGAGUACCUUAGGGGGGUGUUUAUGGGCUCUAUAAAAAUCCGAAAAUCCAAGGGUAGGUUCACAAUCUUUACCAAAGUUCUCCCACGUUGCGUUUGUACGUUAUUUGUACCUCUUAUCAAUGUGUUCAGUUUGUGUUAAGACUUUCAAAUAGUUUAUCAAUUUCAAUCAAAAUUAAGUACGACUAGUUAACGCAUUACUUGUACCUUUUAUGGAAAUAGUUUAUAACUCAACCAAAAUUCAGUUUGACUGGUUCACCAAGUCUUCCCAGGUUGCGAAGUGACGCAUUACUUGCCUAAAUUUUUAAUCACAUAUUGUCUUAUGAAACUUUGAAAUAGUUCAUAAGACAUUCUUGCGUUUAAUCAAAAAUAAUCAUAGCUGGUUCACCAAGUCUUCCCAGGU